GUGGAACGUAAGGGAGACACCAUUUCCAAAACUUAAAGCAACCAUGUAAUGCCUCAGGAGUCUGUAGAGGGGACGAAGACGCGUUCUGCUGCACUCAACAGAGCUCAAGACCAACGGGACGCCAUCAGGACGCCACGCCAUCGGGACGCCACGUCAACGGGACGCCAUCAGGACGUCACGUCAACCCCUCAGGAGCAAAUCCAGAUCUACUCAUGACACACACACACACACCCACACACACACACACACACACAUAAAUGUACACACAGACACACUAACAUUUGGUUCUAAACAAAGACACACACUAAUAUUUAGAUGUACACAAAGACACAAUAACCAUUAGAUGUACACACAGACACACUUAACAAUUAGAUCUACACACAGACACACUAACAAUUACAUGUACACACAGACACACUAUCAUUUGGUUCUAAACAAAGACACACACUAAUAUGUAGAUGUACACAAAGACACAAUAACAUUUAGAUGUACACACAGACACACUAACAAUUAGAUCUACACACAGACACACUAACAAUUACAUAUACACACAGACACACUAACAUUUGGUUCUAAACAAAGACAUAAACUAAUAUUUUGAUGUACAGGAAGACAUAUUAAUAUUUAGAUCUACACACAGACACACUAACAAUUAGAUGUACACACAGACACAUCCUGAUGAUCCUCCUCACGUCUCUUCUCCUUGUCUGCAGCCCAACGGGACGCCAUCAGGACGCCAUCAGGACGCCACGUCAUCGGGACGCCAUCAGGAUGCCAUCAGGACGCCACGUCAACCCCUCAGGAGCAAAUCCAGAUCUACUCAUGACAGACACCCACACACACACACACACACACACACACACACACACACAGAUGUACACACAGACACACUAACAUUUGGUUCUAAACAAAGACACACACUAAUAUUUUGAUGUACACAAAGACACAUUCAUAUUUAGAUGUACACACAGGCACACUAACAAUUACAUGAACACACAGACACACUAACAUUUGGUUCCAAACAAAGACACACACUAACAUUUAGAUGUACACAAAGACACACACUAAUAUUUUGAUGUACACGAAGACAUAUUAAUAUUUAGAUCUACACACAGACACACUAACAAUUAGAUGUACACACAGACACAUCCUGAUGAUCCUCCUCACGUCUCUUCUCCUUGUCUGCAGACCAACGGGACGCCAUCAGGACGCCAUCAGGACGCCACGUCAUCGGGACGCUACGUCAUCAGGAUGCCAUCAGGACGCCACGUCAACCCCUACACAUUAAGAUACCAACGGGACGCCAUCAGGACGCCAUCAGGACGCCACGUCAUCGGGACGCUACGUCAUCAGGAUGCCAUCAGGACGCCACGUCAACCCCUACACAUUAAGAUACCAACGGGACGCCAUCAGGACGCCACGCCAUCGGGACGCCACGUCAACGGGACGCCAUCAGGACGUCACGUCAACCCCUCAUGAGCAAAACCAGAUCUACUCAUGAUACACACACACACACCCACACACACACACACACACACACAGAUGUACACACAGACACACUAUCAUUUGGUUCUAAACAGAAGCACACACUAAUAUUUAGAUGUACACAAAGACACAAUAACCAUUAGAUGUACACACAGACACACUAACAAUUAGAUCUACACACAGACACACUAACAAUUACAUGUACACACAGGCACACUAACAUUUGGUUCUAAACAAAGACACACAAUAAUAUUUUGAUGUACAGGAAGACAUAUUAAUAUUUAGAUCUACACACAAACACACUAACAAUUACAUGUACACACAGACACAUCCUGAUGAUCCUCCUCACGUCUCUUCUCCUUGUCUGCAGACCAACAGGACGCCAACAGGACGCCAUCAGGACGCCAUCAGGACGCCACGUCAUCGGGACGCUACGUCAUCAGGAUGCCAUCAGGACGUCAACCCCUACACAUUAAGAUCUACACACAGACACACUAACAAUUAGAUGUACACACAGACACAUCCUGAUUAUCCUCCUCACGUCUCUUCUCCUUGUCUGCAGACCAACGGGACGCCACCAGGACGCCAUCAGGACGCCAUCAGGACGCCACGUCAUCGGGACGCCAUCAGGAUGCCAACAGGACGCCACGUCAACCCCUCAGGAGCAAAUCCAGAUCUACUCAUGACACACACACACACACCCACACACACACACACACACACACACACACACACACACACAUAAAUGUACACACAGACACACUAACAUUUGGUUCUAAACAAAGACACACACUAAUAUUUAGAUGUACACACAGGAACACUAACAAUUACAUGUACACACAGACACACUAACAUUUGGUUCUAAACAAAGACACACACUAAUAUUUUGAUGUACACAAAGACACAUUCAUAUUUAGAUGUACACACAGGCACACUAACAAUUACAUGAACACACAGACACACUAACAUUUGGUUCCAAACAAAGACACACACUAACAUUUAGAUGUACACAAAGACACACACUAAUAUUUUGAUGUACACGAAGACAUAUUAAUAUUUAGAUCUACACACAGACACACUAACAAUUAGAUGUACACACAGACACAUCCUGAUGAUCCUCCUCACGUCUCUUCUCCUUGUCUGCAGACCAACGGGACGCCAUCAGGACGCCAUCAGGACGCCACGUCAUCGGGACGCUACGUCAUCAGGAUGCCAUCAGGACGCCACGUCAACCCCUACACAUUAAGAUGAACUGCUUCAGGUGUUUUCCCAAUGAUUGUGUUAUUAUUAUUGUUAAUCAUGUCG
ensembl:lncRNA